CGGCACGCACUCGGCGAGCGUGCGUUCGAGCCGCCGCCAGUCGUCGUCGCCGGCGGGCAGCCCGAUGCGCACGCUCGGCGCGUGCGCGAAGUAGCGCGUCCAGAUUCCGCGCGCCGCGAGCGCGUCGUGCAGCGCGUGCGCGCGCGGAUCGGCGCUCCAGCUGAAAAGCGGCGUCGCGUGCGUGACGAAGCCGUGCGCGCGCAGCAGCGCGGCAAGGCGCGCGCCGUCGUGCGCGAGCCGCUCGCGCAUCGCGUGCUGCCACGCCGCGUCCGCGAACGCGGCGAGCACCGCGUGGCGCGCCGGGCCGCUGACGGUCCACGCGCCGAGCGCGUCGCGCAGCCGCGCGAGCAGCGCGGGCGCGGCGAGCGCGAAGCCCGCGCGCACGCCCGCGAGGCCGAAGAACUUGCCGACCGAGCGCAAUACGACGAGGCCGUCGCGAUGCGUGUCCGCGGCGAGCGACGCGUGCGCGGCGCUCUCGGCGUCCGCGAACGCCUCGUCGACGAUCAGCGCGCCGCCGCGCGCGACGAGUUGCGCGUGCCAGCGCAGCAGCCGCGUGCGAUCGACGCGUUCGGCGGUCGGAUUGUUCGGAUUGGCGACGAUCGCGUACGUGAGCGCGGCGGGCAGCGUGUCGGCGCCGCAGUCGAGCGGCGCGCCCGAAUGGCCGUGGCGCGCGAACGCGGGCGCGUACUCGCUGUAUGCGAGCGGCGCGACGCCGACCGUGCCGCGCGCGAAAAGCGCCGGCAGCGCACGGAUCGCCGCCUGGCUGCCCGCGACGGGCAGCACGUGCGCCGCGCCCGGCGCGCGGUAGUAGCGCGCCGCGUGCGCGGCGAGCACGCCGUCGUCCUCGGGCAGCCGGCGCCACGCGUCGGCGGGCACGGGCGGCACCGGAAAACCGUGCGGAUUGAUGCCCGUCGACAGAUCGAGCCACGCGUCGCGCGGGAUGCCGUAGCGAAGGGCGGCUUCGUGCAGGUUGCCGCCGUGCGUGAUCGGCGCGUCAGCCAUGGUGCGUCGCGAUCGACAGCGCCGCGCCGGCGACGAGCAGCGCGAGCCAGAGAAUCAUCGUGCGGGCGACGAGCGACAGCGCGGCCGCGACGUGCACGGGCGCCGCGGGCUCGCCCGCGCCGAGCACGGGGCGGUCCUCGAUUGCGCCGUGAUAGACGGCGGGGCCGCCGAUCACGACGUUCAGGCUGCCCGCGCCCGCGGCCAUCACGGGGCCCGCGUUCGGGCUGUCCCAGUGGCGCGCCUGCGCGCGCCAGCAGCGCCAUGCGUUCGCGGUGUCGCCGAGCAGCGCGUAGCUUGCCGCGGUGAGGCGCGCGGGGGCCCAGUUGAGCGCGUCGUCGAUGCGCGCGGCCGCCCAGCCGAAGCGCGCAAAGCGCGGCGUGCGGUAGCCCCACAUCGCAUCGAGCGUGUUCGCGAGCCGGAACAGCAGCGCGCCCGGGCCGCCCGCGAUCGCGAACCAGAAGAGCGCACCGAAGAUCGCGUCGUUGCCGUUCUCGAGCGCCGAUUCGACCGCCGCGCGCGACAGCGCGGCCUCGUUGGCGGCGCUCGUGUCGCGCGACACGAUGCGCGCGGUCAGCGCGCGCGCGGCCGCGAGAUCGCGGCGCAGCAGCGCCGCGGCGAUCGGCGCGACGUGCUCGGCGAGGCUGCGCGCGCCGAGCGCGAACCACAGCAGCGCGACGUGCAGCGCGACGUGCAGCGCGGCGGCGAGCCACGCGGCGAGCGCGACGGGCGGCGCGACGGCGGCGAGCCACGCGGCGAGGCCCGCGAGCCGGCCGCGCCGUCCGGUGUUGAGCGCGCGUUCGAGGCGCGCGGCGAGCCGGCCGAACGCGACGAGCGGAUGCGCGGCGCGCGGCUCGCCGACGAGCUUGUCGACGACGCAGCCGGCGACCGCGAGGCAGGCGACGGCGGGCAGCGACAGCAUCAGCAUCGCGGUUCGCCCUCGUCCUUGACCAUGACGGGCAGGCCGGCCACGCACAGCGUCACGCGUGUCGCGAGCGCCGCGAUGCGCUGAUUGACGCGGCCGAGCGUAUCGACGAAGCGGCGCGUCUGCCUGCCGAGCGGCACGACGCCGAAGCCGAUCUCGUUGCUGACGACGAUCACCCGCGCGCGGCUCGCGCGCAGCGCCGCUUCGAGUUCGGCGACGUAAGCGUCGCAGCGCGCGUCGUCGACGCCCGGGCCGUCGGCCGGGCAGAGCAGGUUCGUGAGCCACAGCGUGAGGCAAUCGACGAGCACGCACGCGUUCGCGUCGUCGAGCCGGGCGAGCGCGGGCGCGAGCUCGACGGGCGCCUCGACGAGCGCCCAGCCGGCCGGCCGGCGCGCGCGAUGAUGCGCGAUGCGCUCGGCGAAUUCGUCGUCCGCGACGCGGGCGGUGGCGAUAUAGGUGACGGGCCGUCCGCCUGCGGCGGCGAGCCGUUCGGCGUGCGCGCUCUUGCCCGAGCGCGCGCCGCCGAGAACGAAGGUGAGGUCGCGCGGAAUCAUCGCGUGAUUGUAACGGGCCGCGCGAUAAUGCGGCCUUCGCCAUUUGCCGCGCGCCGCGCGUCGCGCCAUUCGUUCACGAUGAUUGCCAACGCCAACGCCAACGCCAACGCCAACGCCAACGCCAACGCCAACGCCAACGCCGCCCGUCCGCGCGGCACGCUGAUGAUCCAGGGCACGACGUCCGACGCGGGCAAGAGCACGCUCGUCGCGGGCCUGUGCCGGCUCGCGCGCCGCACGGGCGCGCGCGUCGCGCCGUUCAAGCCGCAGAACAUGGCGCUCAACAGCGCGGUGACGGCGAACGGCGGCGAGAUCGGCCGCGCGCAGGCGCUGCAGGCGCUCGCGGCGGGCAUCGAAGCGCAUACCGAUCUGAACCCGGUGCUGCUGAAGCCGACGGGCGAUCGCGGCGCGCAGGUGAUCAUCCACGGCACGGCGCGCGCGAACCUGGACGCGCGCGCCUAUCACGACUACAAGCCGACCGCGAUGCGGGCGGUGCUCGAAUCGUACGGCCGGCUGCGCGGCGCGUACGACGCGGUGAUCGUCGAAGGGGCGGGCAGCCCUGCCGAGAUCAAUCUGCGCGAAGGCG
rnacentral:rRNA from 1 species